GAACGCACAUUGCGCCCCCUGGUAUUCCGGGGGGCAUGCCUGUCCGAGCGUCAUUGCUGCCCUCAAGCACGGCUUGUGUGUUGGGCUCCGUCCCCCCGGGGACGGGUCCGAAAGGCAGCGGCGGCACCGAGUCCGGUCCUCGAGCGUAUGGGGCUUUGUCACCCGCUCUGUAGGCCCGGCCGGCGCCAGCCGACAACCAAUCAUCCUUUUUUCAGGUUGACCUCGGAUCAGGUAGGGAUACCCGCUGAACUUAAG
rnacentral:misc_RNA from 1 species